UUUUUUUUUUUUUUUUUUGUUAUACGGGCCCUAAAUAUUUUUACAUUUUGUUCUAGAGAAAACUGUGAAAAUGACAAAAUAAUUGAUAACAAAUUAGAAAAUAACAAAAAAAAAUUUUUUAAAAUGAUUUAUAGCAAAACCGUAUGAUAUAGUCCUUUUUUUUAGCCGAUUUUACCCGUAUGGAAAAAAAAUUCUUUUAUCGCAGAUACAGUGUAUUUCUAUAGAUAAAAAUGAUAUAUCAUAAUCCAGAAUCAUAGAUACAAUGUAUUUGAAAACAAUUAAUUUUAUAAAAAUAUUAAAUAAAUAUUUAUUUUCAAGAUGAAUCUAAUUGAUUCAACCUUCCCUAAAUUUAUGUCUGCAAUUCAUACCAGAUAUUCGAAUUUGUAGGCUUCAAAUAAACUAAUUAACAAUUUAUUUAUAUAAUUCAUAAUAUAUAUACUAGUAGCUAUUUAAUUCUUUUUUUUUAAUGUCAAUGAAAUGAUUGAUAAUAUAAUUUCUUCAUCAUACGUUUCAUAUGGUUUGGUUAAUAUUUAGUAGCAUUAUAUUAUAUCAUACAUAAUACACAUUUUAUAUAUAUAAUUCAUUGUUUAUAAAUAUUUAUUUAUUAUUCAAAUUGAAUGUUUAGUCGAAAGAUAUCCAAAAUUUGAAUUUAGAAUGGUAUCUUCCCCUAAAAUCAUGCAUUUGAUAUAACAACUUCAUAUUAAAUUUGUUAUUUCUCCUAUAGUUAUGCAUUUAACGAUGAUUUUCAUAAAAUUGUUCAUUUAACAUAAUAAUAAAUUGAAAUUAAAACUUCCAUAAAAUGGUUCAUUUAACAAUCAUUCCAUAAAAUGAUUUUAUUUCUCCUUAUAAUUAUGAUGCAUUUAACGUCCAGAUGAUUAUUUUAAGAAAUUUUUCAUCAUCCAUAAACAUCGUUAUGCAAGAAAUGCAUCGUAUUUGAAUAGUGAACUCAAAUCUCAAGAUUCACAUCAUAAAACGGACGUAUAAGAUUUGUUGAAAUUUAACACAGUUAAAUACAAUCCUCAUUAUAUGAAUAAGUUGGAAUGUGCAACUAACUACGAUAUAAAUAUAAUUAUACAUAUACAAUGUAUUUUAAUUGAUUUACAAGAAUAUCGGGCACACUGUGACGCUCCAAAAUUUAGGUGUUUUUCUUAACAUAAUUAUCAUAUUAAUAAGGGUAAAGAUUCACAUGAAGUUAAAAAAAAAUGAGACAAAAUAUCAACUUUGUUAAAUCUUAACUAAAUAUGCUAUUUUCAUGUUGGAAAGAUUGCACCAACAUCUUCUAAAAAUAUGGCUAUAAUUUCUUCUAGAUUUUUGGAUUAUUGCCAGUGAAAUCAAUCAAUUAGCAAUUUCUUUGUAUAAUUCAUAAUUGAUAUUUUUAAUAACGAUUUGAACUCAAAUUUUAGAUCAUAAUCUAAAAUAAUGACAAAGAUAAAUUCAACCGUUUCACAGUCUUUAUAUUUCAAACCAUUUAUGAAAAUUUUAUUAAAUAAUACAUAAUAUCAAAUAUUUAUUAAUACAUAGUUUUGUGAUAGAAUUUCGUAUUAUCUAAUUUAAUAUGAUUAUAUGGAGUAAUGAUAUAGUAAAGAAAGCUAAAUUGAGAUAAAGAGAGACUUGAUUUUAUGAUGAAAUCUAGGGUUAAUAUCUAAUAUUUUUUACUCGAUUUCUAUGGAUUUACAAGUUUCUGCAAUAAUAAAAUUAGAAGGAAGCAAAAAUGAAGAAGAUGGAUUUUCGAUGGAGAGAACUUAGAAGAAUGAGAAUAAUUAAGCUGGUGGUGUAUUAGUAGCGGUAGCGAAGAAAGGGGGCAUGUGAUUUCCAGCGAUGAUGACAAUGAUGGCGAUUUGUUGCGGAAGGUAUAUGAUAUUCAUGAUUUUCGGAUGUUCUUCGUAGAGAAAAGAGGAAGAGAAAGUAGGGCGUUUCUGGUAGGGAACAAGAAAAUAAAAUCAAUGAGGUGAGGAUGAGAAGUAGAGUUAAGCCAAAGAGAUAAGGUAUCAAAGUAUGACCAUCAAGUCGUCCCUAACUCAGUUCGAUCUCGUAGCUUCUCCGUUUUGUUCUCCACCAGAGCCCAUCCAUUUUGCACGCCCAGAUCUGAGCCGCUUUGCCUCCGUCCAAGCUAGACUUGAGCCAUCGAGCCACACUCAGUUCUUCUUUGCACACCGUCUUUUGGCUCGAUUUGUGCAUUGUCGUUUUCAGUGUUGUACAAAUGUGAUUCGGGAGAAAACUGGUAAAAGGAUGAACAUAUGGGUUUUCAAACUUUCUUUAAUUUUUGCAGCGUAAUGACAAAUUUUCUUAUCUUUAUGUUUUUUGGAAAAAAGAUUUAUGUAGCAUAUGUUAUGGUAAUUACAGUGUAUUUAAGAUUUAGGUAAACAAUUGUAUUUUUCAGAUUGGGUAGGGACAUUUAAGAGAUUAGUUUAUUUAUUUAUAUUUUAAAUUUUUAUGUUUUGCUAUUCUAACAAAUAAUUUGCUAUUAUAACAAAUAAUUUGCUAUUUUAAAUUUUUAUAUUUUAAAAUUAUUUUUGUUAUUUUUCUAAAGUAAAACUAAUAAUUUGCUAUUUUUCUUGACAACCCUUUGUUCUAUAUAUGCAAAUUAACCUUUAAUCAAUCUAUUUUUUAUAUUUAUAUUAGGGGUGUUAAAAAAAACCUAUAAUUUGACUAACCUGGAUUACUUAACCUAAAUCGUAAGGGUUAAGUGUUAAAUUUUGUGUUUGGUUGGGUUGAGUUAGAAAGUUAGAGAAAAAAAUGUUGAGUUGGCUAGUCGGAUCGUGCAAGUAAGGUGUUGAGAUGACCCCACCCAACCCAAUUAUGUAUAUUAUAUGUAUACAAAUAUAAACCUAAAACCCAAAAGUAAACCUCCUUCUGAAUGGACAUUUGUAAACUUGAAAUUUGAAUGUAUAAUAUCUAUAUGUCACAUUGUACCUUGAAUGACAAUUUGUUCAACUUGCAUAUUGAAAGUCAAUACGAAAUUUGUCUAAAUUAUAGAGAUAUGAAAAAAAAAAUUAACUCGCCAACCGAGCCCAGACAUUUUGGGUUGGAUUGACCCUUUGCAUAUUGAAUCGAUAAGGUUUAUUUUUUGCCAACUCGGGUACUUUUGGUUGGUCUAUAACUUUCCUCCAACCCGGUCCAACUCAGCUUAUGUACACCCCUAUUAAAUAUAAGUUGAAAAUUUAGUCAUGUAAUUCUAGUUUCUACCCAAAUUUCAUAAAAGAAAUGAAAAAUUAGGAAAAUUGCACAAACAACUAUGGUUAACACUUCAGAAAUUUUCAAAAUUGUCAAAUUGUAUCCUUGUACAUUUAAAUAGUUGCAAUCAGUCCGUUUUUUUUAUUUACCAUUAUUUGUUGGAUUACACAUUUAUCUCACACAUGCAAGAGGGGCAUAUUUGUAAAUUCAUCCUCCAAAGGGGUUUGGUUUAUUUGUUUUCUCUCUCUAACCCUUCUUAUGUAAUUUGUACUCCUCUCUCUAACCGUCGAUUGAGGAGUCUCCAAUUUCUCAAACUCCACAACAAUUUUCUCUAUUUUAAAAAUUAUAUGUUCCAACUAAGAGAAAAAAAAAAGCAUGAGUUAUAGAGAGGGGGAGAAGAGACGAUUUCCAUUUAGUUUUGGCAUUUUCAAGCGGGGUAGUUCUAUUGUAUGGUCACUCGCGGAUCUAGAUAUCUGGGGGCACCGGGCACUAUAUAAUAAACACAAUAAACAAAUGUAAAAAUAAUAUCUCGACGUUUUCCUAAUAAUCCAAUAACAUUCACUACAUUUGUACAAUAAAUAAGACCGACAAUUUUCACAUGAUUUUUUGUAAUGUAAAUAUGUGAAUUUAAAAAUUACAUAAAAAAAAAAAAAAGAGUAAUACCUUUCUCAUGGAUCAUUGACUUUGUUGCAUUUUUUUCUAAAUAUUUGGUAGAUAACAUAUGAGAGGUAGGAAAUAAGGUAGGGUUUUAUUUUAGAUAAUUUUUCCCUCUUUUUUAAAAAUUAUAUUCCUUUUAGAAAAUCAAAUUAUAUUCCUUUUAGGAAAACUAUUGAAAUUUAGGAAGAAAAAUCAAAUUAUCUUCAUUUAGGAAAAAAAAUUAUUUCAAUCGAACCCAGAAUCUUAUGAUUUUGCAGGUGCAAAGCCACUACACCAGAACUAAAAUUUAGUAAAACUAAAGUAUUAUUUAAUAUAUAUUGUAAUUUAACAUUUUUAAAUUAAUAUUAAAAUACAAAAAUCGAGAAUAUUAAAGGGGGCGUACUCCCCCUGGCUCCUUAAUAAAUCUGCCUAUGUGUAUGCUAAACAACUUCAUGAAUAAAAACCAUAUAAAACAAUUGUGUUGCUCUUGUUCAUAGUAAUUCAUUCUAUAAGUCUCGGUUACUUAUAGGGAGAGAAAGAAAGAGGAAAAAAUGAUUAAAAAGAGAGAAAAUAACAAAACACUCUCAAUGGUGGUUGGCAGCUUUAAAUGCGGGAUGGGCGAUUGUGUAGCAUUUGCUCAAAUCUAACAAGUAGGUCAACUGUAAACCUCGAAUCCUAUUGAACUUAGGUCUUCCCAAGAGUUAUGAAGGAUUAAUUUUAAGUGGAGUUAGGAUAAGGAAGUAAUCUUGUGAAGUGAUAUUUUUAAGUAUGUCGUAGAAGGGGGAAAGAAGAAAAAUUAAGAAGCAAUAAUUUUGAAAGAUAAAGAAAAGUUAAGUAGGAAAGAAGAGAAAAUUUGGCUAAGUAUGGGAGUUGGGUAUUUGGCUAUGGUUUAAUCUAAAAAGGUUAGUUUGGGCGAAUAGGGAGCUUGUUAGGCGACAAAGGAAGAGAAGAUAGCCUUUUAAGAGGUUAUCUUUGUGUUUUGAUGUGUGGCCAAGAAGGACAAAGUGAACCUUUAAGGGUUGACGUUUUGGUUGUAGCUAGACGAGAAGAAGGCUUGUUUAGAUGUUAGCUAGGCGUUUGGAGGUUUGCAGCAAGGCUAGAGAGAUUAGCUAGGAGUUAGGGCUCGGCGAAGAGCAUGGCAUGCAAGAAGGACAUGGAGGAUAACGACCAUGCAAUGAGAUGUUAGUUGUCAAUUUGGCUAGAUGUUUGACAUUUCCUUGACACUUUGGCAUUUUGAUUAGGCGAGAAGAGGAAGAGGUGGAGUCCAGGUGUCAUGUGCAUGCAUAGGUUAAAUUUUAGCUGAAGGAGGUGUCAAUAAAGUUUCAUGCAAUCUCUAGUAUAAAUAGGUUACUUCGGAUGUGCAUUUCUCUCAAACGAAUUGUGCAUUUGGAGUGAAAUUACACUUAAAAGAUUAUAAAUUGAGUUUAUUUUCUAUAUUGAGGCUUUUGGUUAAAUUUGAGUAUGAGAGGAUUGAGUUUAAGUUGAAUAAAGUGAGGAAGGUAAAAAUUCGGGUGAUUCUGAACAAGGUUGACUUCCAAAGGGCUAUAGAGAUCAUAUAUUGAAAUUCGAAGUUGAACUUUUGAGAUAAGAAUAUUAAGACAAUUUUCAACAACUUUAUAGAAUAAAAUAUUUUCAUUUGAGUUAUGGAUUUAUAGUUGUUAAGCUCUAAAGUGGAAAUAAGGUUUUGGCCAAAUUUGAGUUUUUGGGCAAUUGAGGUGAUUGGUCAAGAGACAAGGUAGGACUAGGCGAGCUGAGCAUGGCAUUUUGGAUCAGAGAGGUUAUUGGGCAAGAAGGUUGGUGUUAGAUGCACGACCUUUGUGCAAAUCCCGCGUGUGGCAAGAAGUCAUGGCAGGAGAGCUGCACACGACACCAAACAUGCGGCCAGGUGAGGCACAUGGUGUGUCUGUGCGCAGGCAUGCUCAGUGCGUGCAACAAACCUCUUGUGAGGUUAGCGCGGGCAGCCCAACGUGCGCGGCCAGGGCCCUGUCGCCCACCCGUGCGUGCCAGCCAUGUCAAAGUAAUGUUUUUUAUAUUUUAGGAAAUUUUUAAGUAAAGUUCUGAAGAAUUAAAAAGAAUUAUUUUUCAUUAUUUCAAGUUAAGAGGAGAUCAAACAAAUAUAUAAACCAAUAGUCUAAGCUACUAUCUAUGAGUAAUAAAAUGAAUUUAAAUUUGAUUUCUAAAUCUAAUUAUCUAUCAAAUGUUUUAAACAUGCUUUGAUGUAUGAAUUAUUUGAGUUUACUAUUUUAGCAAAAUGUUUCUAAAGCAUGAGAUUUAAAAUGUUUGAUAAGUAUUUAAGUAAAGAAUGCUUUUAGAACGUUUUAGACCAUACGGUACAAUGUAUAUAUAGGAACCCUUUGGGAGGAUAUGGCCUGUGCACAAAGGUUCCUAUGAUAGAGGUUAUCAGUAAAUACCCAUGUAUGCUAUCACAGUUGGGAUAGAUUUCUGAGAAGAGGGUGUUACAUUUCUUGAGAUAAAUGAUCUGUAGGUUACCUACCUCAUUGUAGCUAUAACAAGAUGAGUAUCGUCAGAGGGUCCACCUUGUAUUUCAUAUGAUAUAACGAGUAAAUUGACUUAACUAUGUUGAAGACGAAGUUUAAAACUAAAUUAUUUUUUAAAAAAAUAUAUGUUUUAAUAAAACCAUCACUCACUGGGCUAUUUUAGCUCACUCUUUCCAAAUGUUUUCCCCUCUUUCCAAGUAGAGGUCGUGAUCCACAAACCUAAUCAUUGUCUUCAAAGUCUGUCGUGAAAAGUUGUAAUUAGUUUAGUUACUAAGGGUCAGUUUUAUUUUAAACCUUAUCAUGUACAUGGUUUUGCAUAAGGUUAAGUGCAGUUGUUAAAUUUCUGUUUGGUCUGUAACUAUAGUUUGUACCUAGUGGCAUCUAGCCUCGAUUACUUGUUAAAAAGUAUAAGAAGUUGUUGAAGUUUGUUUCUCUUAAUUUUUGCUGCAUAAGUUUUAAAUUACUUAGGUUGUUUAGCAUUGUAAAAGAUCAGUAGUCAAGGUCAACUGAAUACUGUUCAAAGAGGGAGCAAUGUCAGUUGGCUUCACGCCACGUCUCGAAACGAACAAGUAGAUGUCUGAGGGGGGGGGGGGGGGGGUGACAUCAACCGUAUGGAAAUCGAAAGUUCAUGAGAAGAAUCAGUAUAGGAUGUAGCCUCCCUUACUAUUUUGAGAGCAAAUGGUUUUAUAAAACGUGGAGCUGAAAUAAAAGCUUGGUAACAUCCUUUGAAAAAAACAUUGAAAACUGUCAAUUACAAAGUCUAAAUACAAUUCCAUUAAUUUUUAAACAUUUUUUAUAUUUUAGGAUUUUUUUUUUUUUUUUUUUUUUUAGAAAUUGCAUUAGAUCACAAAAAUAUUUAAAAAAAAAACAGCUCAUAACACCUCAUUUUGCAUAUUGCAAAUUUGGCAAAUAUGAUGGUAAUCAAAAGGUAAUUUGGUGGUAAUUUACUUUUAAAUUUGUUGUUUUGAAAUUUUGAAAAUGUAAGUGACAUGAACUCUGCUAUCAUAAUUUUUUUUUCUAUUUUUGCAAACUCUCCAAAUUUUUUUUAAGGAUAAUAGAAAAUUUAUAUAUUUAUUUGACAUUUUAACAGUUUAUUAAAGGUUAAUUUUCAUAAAUAUAACAAAACACCAAAAUAUUUACAACAUGUGUAACAAAAUAAAAAAGUUUACACAUAAUAAAAAAGUUCAUUAAGCCAGUAGAAAUUUUUUAUAAAUUAUAUUCGAGAUUUGCUCUUGAUAUUGGAGACUAAUUUUCACUUCUCUUUCUUCUUCUUUGCCAUUUAUUUAUAUUCAAUUCGUGUUUAAGAUUUUUUUUCUUCUAUUUUUAUUCAUUUUUCUUUUCUUUUUCUUUCUUCAUCUUCUCUUUCUUUAUUGUAACUCAUCUUCCAAAAUACGAACAUUGUUUAAAUAUCACUUUGAUAUAUUUUAAACAAUCAUUGACCUACUCAACACGAUCGUUUAGAUUUGAAACAUUUUUUUACUUCGUUAAAAAUAAUUACAUGAUCGUGUAUCGCACUUGUGUGACCGCUUUAUCGUGUGCUAAUUAGCUAGGGUAAUUUUGAUAUUUUACAUUGUGGACUUGUGAACUUUUUUCAUUUUUAAAAUUAUUUCAUAGAAGGUAAAUAUUUUGUCAGUUUAUUAUAUAUUUUAAAAAAACCCACUUGUUAAGGCUUGAACUCAAACUUUUGAUAUUUUACUAGUCAUACACAAGAAAAAAAAUGGUCUAAUACAAUGAAUAAGAUUGUCUACGUUGGUGAGAAUGUUAAUGACAUAUUACAAAAUCUUAUAGCUGUCAAGAGAAAAAAGUAUAUGGAGUGAAAAGGUAGGAAGAAAAAACAAAUUUAUAAUAUUGUGUAUUUUUAUGAAAGAAAGAAAUUAAAUUCAUUGUCGGUAUGGCCAUAAAGUGAAUGGUCCUGCCUUCAUAAUGUCUUGACAAUCUCUCACAACUUUUCUUCUUAUAGAACCAAACUUUGUUCCUCAUUUCUGAAUUCUCAAAUCUUAUUAUUUACCACUCUUUGAUCAGCUCUCUGUCUUCUCUUUGGUGUCUCCUUUUGUUUUGGGAUCCAAUUUUCGAAUUCAAUGGACAUCUUCACCUCCAUAUCAUCUAAAACAUUGCCUUUUGAUACCCAUAUUGAUAGCAAUAAUAGUUUGGGAGUUUAUGGCGACACCUCCUUCUCGUCUUACUUAUCUGCGAAAGAAGACCAUGACUUCAUCCGCAAACUCGCUGAGUCAACUCGUUACCUAAAAAGCCCCAACAUGAUUCCUUGUAGCAGAGGCGGUGAAGAUGGAGAGAUUGGAAUAUUUGGAGCUGAAAAGUACUUCAAUGACGGAAUGGAAGAUGAGAGCACUCAAAGAUCAAGUAACAAUCAUCCAUCGUCUCAAAAGCUUGAUAAACUUAUUGUUGCUCAUAUGGAGGAAGCCUUGAAAUUGCCAAAGCCGAGGCUUGGAACUCCAAGUGUUGGAUCGGAAUCCAGUAGCGUCAACAGCCAAAGACCUUUGCUGAAGAUCGUUAAAAGCACAACAACAACAAGUGCAAUAGCAACAACAAUUGCCAGUAACAGUUAUUCGCUCCAGAAGAGGAGUAGUAACAACAACAAGAGCUUUCUAUCCAAUACACUUGGCUAUUGCAUGUGCUGUACAAGCAACAAAAAAAGUACUGCAGUUGAAGACGUGGGUGAAAUCAGUUUCAGCAAUGCAAUCACAACAAACCCAACACGAAAUAAUAUUAAUAAUAUAUUGGAUCGAGAAGCGCCUUCGUUUCGAGGCUUUCCAACUGCAGCAUCAUCACUGAAGAUGGUCCAUUUACAAGAACCUGAAGAAGUAGUUGAAAGAAAGUCGUUAGAGGUUUUCGGUUCGCCUAUGACGGGAAGGCUCAGAAACAAUAAACCAAUGAGCCUGGAAAAAAGGCUAACCAUGCUUUCUUGGGAUAAAACAAAUAACCACAGCACCACCUUAGGAUCAGGAAUGUUUUACAACGAGGACGAGGUGAAUAGCGAUUGUAGCUCCGACUUGUUUGAGAUUGAAAGCCUUACCAAGCAAACCAACCCAUUCCACUCUCCAACUGCCUCUUGUUAUGCGCCCAGUGAAGCUAGCGUUGACUGGAGCGUCGUCACUGCCAGUGCUCUAGACUUCGACGAACGGCGCCCCUCCACUACCAGUCCAGCCAGAGUGGUGCCACCACCACCAAUGAGGGUUAAUGUGCACAAAGAGGUUGUCGUUGUCCCGAAGAGGCGACCGAGUAGUAUUUUAGGGUGUAAAAGUGAGAAAGCAGUAAGAGUUGCUGAAGGUAAUAAUAAGUAUGAACGCAAAAUGGGUGGUAACAAGUCUAACAACUCUGAUUAUCUUCUCAUGGAACAACGUAACUCCGAGUCGUUGAUGGCAGUUAAAAGGUUUGAAGAUGAGACCAAAGUCGGAGGGUUCAGUUUCAAAUCGCAAGGGUCGUCGUCGAUGUUGCCUAUUCCCCUGCCUCUGCCACAUCAUGGUCUCGCCACACGCUCGCUUCCUCGCCCUUAUUCCCCAAGGCUUACCAAUAUAACCUUCAAUAUGCAGUGAGAUGAUUGCAUGUUAUCUUCAUAUUUCCAUAAGUACAUUAAACAUUUGAACUAUACUUAUUUACUCUACUCUACUAUAAAAUAGGAUAUUUUCCUAUUCACUGCUAUUCCAAAUUUGAAUAUACCUUUGGUACGAGUGAGGGGUAUGUAUACAUUAUUAUUCUAAACUCUCCUGACUUUAUUUCUAAUUUUUGGUUUUCUUAUAAUUCGUUAGUACUCUCCUUAUUUAGUUGAUGUGACGUUGUUCUUGCAUUUUGCACCGUCACAAUUCAUCUGUGUAAAUGAAUGCUUUUUUUUCAUUCAGCAGUAAAUUAGCAUAUGAAUGAUUAUUUAACAUAUAGGCAAAAUGUUAUAUAAAAAUGUAAUAUGAACUAUAUAUAAUAAUAACUAAACCAUCCUUUACUUAUUCCAAGUGUUUAAUUUAUGUACACUAUUCCUUCUCUUCUAACUCUUUUUCUUUGUUAUCUACCAGCUUCUACCAGUUGGCUUAAAAAAUCCACCCAAAAAAUUUAAAACAACUUUUAAAAUAUUAACUUAAAACAACUUUUAAAAUAUUGUUUUCUCUCCCCAUAAUUUGGCUAAGAAUUCAACUAUUGUAUUUAAGAAAGAUGGAGAAAAUAAGAUUAAUUUUAAAAAACAAAAUAGUUACUAAAUAUGAAAUAAUUAAGUUGAAUCAUGAAAAGAAUAUGUCCAUUUUAGGAAUAAUAAUUAAGAAUGUAGCAACAUUUUUAAAAAAUUAUAAAUAUAGCAAAACUAUGAGUGAUAGAUUUGUAUUGCUGAUAAACUCGAUAAUAAACCAAUAUUUGCAACAUGGUCUAUCGACUUCUAUUAUUCAUAGAAUUUGAUAAAUUUUGCUAUAUUUGCAAGUUUUUUAAAAUGUUGUUAUAUAUUUAAUUAUUUUAAAUCUAUCUACUAAAUUUACAAUUAUUCAUUAUAAUAAAAUAAAUUAAUUAAUAAAUUAAUUAAGAUAUAGUGUAAACCUAAGUGGCAAUACUUCUUCAUUGACAUAAGACAAAGAAAUUAAAAGCCUUUAUGAAAAACCCUUCAAAUAAAAAGUUCAAGUCAAUAUCGUUUCCUUUUAAUAGAUAUAGUAUUCAUUCUCUUGGCCAACUAAAUUAUGUUUCCAUUUUCUUAAUUUUUGUUUUACUCAAUGAUAUAGCAAAAAUUUGAAUGCAUUCAAGAUGCACCAAUUUAGGUGUCACCCAUCUUCCCGUCGCACAAAAAUAAUAAUUUUCAAUUUUAAUUUUGUGUGGGAGGGAUAGAGAGCACAUACAUAGGUGUGUUAACUAUGAUGAUAGUUAACCUGAUCAUAAUGUUCUUAUCAUAAUCUGUGGCUCUAAUUACAAACAUUAUACCUUUACAUUUUUUCAUAGUAUGUGCCUCUAGCUAGCUGCAAUUAUCAUUUGGGUGAUUUUCUUUUUAUGCUCAAUUCAUUUUAAUUUAUAUUUAUAUCCAAUAAUAAUCUCUGUAGAGGUCUGAGGUUAAUUUCUGGUUCCAUGUAGUUGCUAUAUUAAGAAAAAUCCAAUCAAUUGCACCUUUCUUUUCCUCCAACUUAUAUGGAAAAGACGAAACCUAAUAUUGAUUUUUGCUUUCCUUUAUUGUUUUUUAUCUUCAUCAAAGGUAUUAUUAUGUUUUGACAAAUAUUAGAAGAGUUGGUGGACUCUAUGCUCUAUAAAAGGAGUCUCACUUGUUUGCCAUUAGGAUUAGAGAGAAUUAUUGUGUAUUUUUUACUAGUGGCCGAUCUCUUUCUGGUGUGUGGUUUUUAUUUUUUAUAUUUGAAGCAUUCGACCUAAAUUCAUUGUGUUUCUUUUAAUUUGUCAAUUAUGUUUUUAGAUAUUCAUGUGAUGUUAGUGAGAGGUAGUUUCUCCAAACACAUGUGUGAAUGGAGAUUCAAAACUCGAACUGUUUUUUAUCAAGAGAUCAUAUAUUUAUAAACUUCUAAACCUUUGAAUCACAAGAAUAUAAUGUUUCAACCGAUUAGGUUGUCGGGUUUUGAAGAAUUUAUGAGAGUAUCUAUUAGAUAUAGUUAUAUAUAUGAAAGUUAGAUUUCAAGAAUAUGAGAGAUAGAGGUUGCUUGAAAACUCACUAUCAUAUAGGUGUAAAGGCAACAAUCAUAGUUAAUAUUGAUAAUAAAAGCAGCCUUUAUUUCUAGAUAGAACGAGUAUGAAUGUAUCAUUCAAUUGAAAAAUCAUUAAAACUUGGGAUGUUAACAACUCAUAUAUCUGUUAUAGCAGGAAGAAUGUUGGGUUUCCAAUAUCAAUUAUUCAACCUACCGUCCCUAACUCCGUGGCCCAUUUCAAAAUAUAUUCUAAAUUUCUAACAAAACCAUUAUUAUUAUUAUUUGCAUAUUUCAGUCUUCACUAAAUGCUAUUUAGUUUUUUCAUUUUGAACAAGAUACUAGUGGAAGGAAUCAGAAAUACACUAGCAGAACAUCUUGACUAUGUUGAUCAUACCUCCUUAAUAUAUCUUCAUCAUAUAUAUCUCGAUGUCAAGAGAGAUGCAUUCAUUCAACAGGUCGUAAAAGUACAAAAGACCUGGAGAAUAUAGCUCAAAACAGACAGAAUGCAGGUCAAUUAUAAAGAAACACAACCCACCUCAGAGCAAUUUUAGAAAUAUUGUAAUUACAAAACAACAAGAUUUUGUGCACCCAAGGACCGUCAAAGAAAUGAUAUCGUUCUACAUAAAUGACUUAUGUUUUUCAAAUGCCAUAGAAAGUUCUGAUAUUCCUUUUGAGCCAAGUGCACCAUAGAGUAUUGACAAUAAUAUUGGUGUUAAAUAUAGUCAAAGAAAACAAAAGAUUGGUGAAUAUUUGAAAUAAUAAGAAUAGAUUUAAUUGUGUAAAUUGAAUUUAUCGCAAUACAAGAAUUUGGACUCUGGCAACAUUUUUUUGGCCACGUAAAAAAAUAUGGGCAGAGAUAUGUUGUGUGCCACUUAUUUUUCACUUAAAUGUAAAAUUUUGUCUCCUUUGUUUCAUUAUAAUUAUUGUCUUGGUUUUAGUUGGAUUUUACAUUUCCAAAAGAACCAAAAUCCUUGAAGAUAAAAUUUUGUGAUGAGAUGGUGGAAAAAGCUUGAAUGUUGGAGAAGAAAUCUAGAAUGAUUUGUGAGGUUCAAAGGUUCAAUAUGUACAUAAUCAUGUCCUGAUAUGUUUGAGCAAGAAUGAGAAAAGUUCGUGGAAAAAAUCUAUUUAGUAUCUUAUAUUUGAGGAUCUAAAGUAUUGAGGUAGAAAUUGAUAUCAAAAGUUUAAUUUUAAUAGUAUAUCAAUAGAAACAUUUUAGGUUGGUUUUAAGUUUGAAAGUGAGUCGUCUUAUUAAAGUUAUUUUAAUAUUUAAAGUGUCACAUAUUUAGAGUUGUUAUCGUAGGUAAUUUGUUGUUAGUUUUGAGUUUAAAAGUCACACUUAGGCACUUCUUGGGCACUAAUUAAAUUGGUUUGAGAGCAAAAUGUUUGCGUUACACAUUUUAAAAUUAUCUUAAGAUUUGAUUCACACUUUUUAGAAACAUUGUAUGUCUUGAGUUUUCAAGUCACACUUAGAUAUCCGUAAGUUGUUUUGAGAGUUAAAUACACCUUUAAGGUGAUUUUUAGUUGGUAGUUUUAACUUGUCUUAAGAGUCAAAUUGGUACUUUGACACUUUUUUAGAGAUACUGUGUUCAGUUUUAAGUUUCGAAGGUGAGACAUUUGUAAACUAUUUUAAAGUAAAGAGACAUGUUCACACGAGAUUUCUGGAGAAAUUUAAUUUGUGGAGUUGAAUUUAGUGUUGAUGUUGUAUCUUUGUUGAUUUGAUGCGAUGCGGUUCAAUCUCUAGAAUUUGAUCCUCUGAUUCUCUCUCGACUGGAUGCUUACGCUUGAUUUGGAGAAAGCAGAGCACGUGAUAUUCUUGAAGUUUGUUGAACGUCUACGCUUGAUUUGGAGAAGCGGAACACGUGAUGUCCUUCAAAUUGGUUGAAUGCCUACGUUUGAUUUGAGGAAGCGGAGUACGUGAUGUUAUUGAAGUUGGAGUCUUGAAAGAAAGUUUGUAUCUUUGAAGGAGCUUCAAUCUUCGAGGAAAAUUGGAGUCUUGGAAGAAAUCUUGUAUCUUCAAAGAAGCUUCAAUAUUCGAGGAUGGUCGACUUCAGGACUUAGGAAGAAUUCUCUUUGGACUUUCUGAAGUCAAAAAUUUCCAACUCCUGCAAAUGAGUAGAAUUUCUCUAUUUAUAAAGUUCACUAGUGGACUUUAUGGACUUAAAACUGGUUGGUCCAUGGACUAGACCCAUGGGCUCAACCAUAUGGAUUUAACUUAUAUUUAGUUUUUAGGCUCAAUUAACCUUGUUUUUUGGUUUAAUUGAACUUAGUCCAAGUAAAUAAUAUUUAAUUGAACCAAAAGGAUUGACUUAAUCCAACGAUUAAGAUGAAAAUAUGUGUAAUGGUCAAUUUAUGUUUUUUCAAUUCUUUAAUUUGAGGCACAUGUCAAUUUUAAUUAGUCUCAAACUUAAUUAUUUGUACUUUUCAUCCUUAACUUAAUAAAUGAUGUGGCAAUUUGUGAUUGGUCUCAAAACUUCUUAUUCAACGAGUCCAUUUGAAAAAUUUUUAAUUUGAUUUUAAUUUCAAAAUUAAACUUGUAUUGAGAGUUAAAGUGUUACUUAGACAUUUUUUUGUAACGGAGCUUUGUUUUCUUUUAUAAUAAUGGUAAAUUGUUUACUUAAGUUAAGUUUAAUCUAACGUUUGUAUGUUAAAGUAAAGUAAACUUUAUCAAAAAGGAAAAUAAACUAUGUAUUAUGAGAAUGAAGAUUGGAGAUUAGAAUCGUCGAACACUGAAAAGGUCGUCGAACGUCGAAGCUUGAGAGUGUGGUGGAAGGGUCAUCGGACGUUGGGCGUGGUGGAUGGGCCAUCGGAUGUUGAGCGUUGUGGGUGGGGCGACCGUCUGAAGUUAUUAUGGAUGGAAAUUUUGGGGGAAAAUUUUUCGUGAAGACGCUAAGAGAUGGAUAUGGAAGAAAGGGUUAGGAAUUCUUGUUUUAUUUUUCAGGGGAGGAAUUAAGGCUUUUUAGAAAGGGGAAAAAGGAAUUUUGAGGGGAAAAAAAGAUGGAAAAUUUGUUUUAGAAAUUGAAAAAAACCGAAAUUUGAGAAUUAAAGAGUUAAAAAUGAAAAAAUAUAUAGUAUUUGACAUUUUAAAAUGUCAAGUAAAUAAAAUUAAUCUAGAAGAUUUUAAUCAGUCAAGUAUUUAAAAUGAAAAAUAAAAAAUUAUAUAUUUUUUCACAUUUGAUUAUUUUUAUAGGUUUUUUUUCUACUUGAUAGUUUUUAAUAGAACUAUCAAGAAUAUCAAAACUGUAGGCGUCAAGUAUUGAAUUGAUUCAAUUGUUUAAUUAAUGUAUAGCAUAUUUGUGCACUCUCUUGCUUUACUUAUAUUCGUCAUUGUUGGAUUUCAAAGCAGGUGUAGGAUAAAUUAUAUAGAUAAUUUAAAAUAUAUAAUUUUUCAUUUGAAAAUAAAAAAUAAAAAGAAAAAAGAAAAACUUCGACAUUCAAAGCGCGUCAAGAAUUCGUUUAUUCUUGACGCUUAAGCAGUGUAAAAAAAAACCUCUUAUUCUUAACACUGGAUUACUUGACACGUAAAAAAAAUGUAAUUUAAUCUCAUAUACUUGACACUUAUAAACUUACAAGUAUAACUUUACUUGACGCUUAAAAACUGUCAAGUAUACCUUUCUUUAUUCUUGACAUUGGAUUACUUGACGCAUUGAAAAGCGUCAAGUAAACAAAUACUUUAUAAGUAAAAAGUGUAAAAUAAACCUUUUUUUUUUUGUACUAAUGAAUAAUUUGUGUCCCAAAAGGAGAACCCAAAAGGAGAACAAGUGUGGUGUUUAGGCGUCGAAAGGUUCUUCACCUUAAAUAGAGAGUCAAUAUGAUGCUUAUAAGUAAAGGAACCGUUAAUCUAUCUUUUCCAUUUGUAUCCUGAAAGGAGAACAAGUACUUUGACCUCGUCAAUCCAAAUCUUCAUCACUUGUUAGCUCCAUGCUAUAAGAAUUAGCCUGAAAAAUUAAUAAAAUAAAGUUAAACUAGUAAAUGAAAACUCACCAAACAUUUAUUCUUUAGGAAUCCACGUGCCUUCACAAUCAGCUCAUACAUAUGUUGAAGUAUUCUCAUCUAAAUUAAGUGUAGAUUCAAUAUCUAACAAGCUUUAGGCAUUCUUUGACAAUGUAGAACCGUAUGUCUAAGUUCGUCAUUAUUGUAUUGAUCCUCGAAAUCUCUUUAUGGUGGAGUAUCACUUAGAUCCUCAACAAAAAAAAAAAAAAAAAAAAAAAAAAAAAAAAGUCUUAGGUAAGUCGCUAGUGUGAAAGAAUCGUUCUUCUGUCCUAUCCUAUUUAAGUCAACUAACACAAACUCAAGCUCGUCAGUUUUAAGAACACCAUUAUUUUUAACCCAAUCACAUUUUAAAAGGCAACCUUAAAAGUACUAUAGUUAAGUUCCCAAAUCACUUCUAUCACACUGUAAAAGGACAUUUCUCAAUUUAUAGGAUUUUUAUAUUUUAAGCUAGAUACUUGCAUUAUUCUUGCAACUAAACUAACCCCACUAUUCUAUAUAGUUUUAUUUUUGGCAUGCGUCUUUGUAUGGUAGUGACAUCCAUUAAUAGCAUAAUUGUUGUACAUAGUCACAAUUGGAUGAGGGUCAUGAGUAAUCCACCACAAGUUAUCUGAAACUUGAACAUCUCUUGUUGCAAGUUUCAUUCCAAUCCAAGUGACAAUGACUUAGACAAUUAAAAUAUAAGCAAGAAAGCAUUAUGUUAAAUAACCAAUUUCAUGUUUUGCUUGUUCUUGCAAACCAAGAUAUGAUUGUGUUCAUCUUGAAUCCAUUUCUGGAUUUUUUAUUCACUUAGGUGUUGCUGUUGCAAUGUGAACAUACGUUUUCUUGUGAAGAACAACAAGAUGUUGAAAUGUAAUUACUUUAAAUUUUAUGAAUUUCAAUUAAAAGAAUGGAUCGUAGACAUAAGAACUUACUCUAUAUGGUUGUAUUCUCCAAAAUAUAUCGAUGAGCUUGAUGUAAGAGUUCCCGUUUAGGUAUAUUAGAAACUCCACUUAACCAUGGUCUACCAAUUUCUAAAUUAUCAAAAUUAUAUCUUAACUUUUAACAACCAAGUCCAAUAGGAUCUACUCCACAUAAAAAUUUUGAACAAAAUUUAACAGCUUCUUCUAAUAUAUAAUAUUUACCAAUACAACCCCGAAUAAUGCCUAUUCCUCACAACAUCUUUUAUAAUCGUGAUAACAUUUCAAAUGGAUAUAUCCAUCGCAAAUAUAUGAGCGCAUAAAAUUAUAAUUCUCUAACAAUGUUGUAUAGUGUGAUUGUUAAGGGUAGAAUAAACCAAUAAUUUACACUUAAUUCUACCCUCAUACAUUUUUAUACUCAUUAUCUUCUUUUCUUUAUACAAAUUAUGAAAAUAGAUUCCAAUAUAAGAAUAAUUGUAAUGAAUAAAGUAAAGAAGAUGAGUAUUAUCAAUGAAUUUGAAUUUGAAUUUCAAAUGAAGAUGAGUGGCAAAAUUGUAAUGAAUUUGAAAGUUUAAGAAUUCUCGCACGCAAAAUCUCAACUUCGAAUUAAAUUCUGAAUGGUGUUUUCGUAAAUAUUACAAAGUAUUCAUGCACACGUCACUAUCCGCUCACGUUCAGCACUCCGAGGUCGUGGCUUCGAAUUCGUGGACUGUAAAACAUUAUUUGACGAAUUUCCUCAAUGGUAUUAUCGUAAAUAAACCGUUUAUUGAGCCCAAAUGUCAUGAUUUUUCGUCUUCAAGGUUGCAGUUUCGAACCCCUGCAACAAUUAUUUCAUAUUUUUUUCUUUAAAUAUCCUAUUUUCUCCAAUUUCAUGAUAUCACUUCAUUUUUUCACUUUUAACUCUUCUCUAAAUUUAGACAUAAAAAUCUGAUCAUUCUUCCCAGCCUUCUGCCAUUUUUGUGAGGUAAAGAGCAUUGGGAUUUGCUUAUCUUUUGAGUGUCAACGUUGUUGUAGAAUUCCUUUAAUUUGUUUCAAUUACGUUAUUUCAAUUUUUCUGUAUCUUGUUUCUAAAUUAAUUCUUUAAGUUUGUAUUUUGAACUCUUCAACCAUCUUAGUGCUUUUUGCAUGCAAUAUACAUUUCUCUUCAGAAAUUAAUGUUAAGUUUUGUUGAAAUGUUUUCACAAUUUUUAUUACGAUUUUCAUAACAAUUCUUGAUCAAAGUGCGAUGAUUUGAGUUCUUGUUAGGGUUGCUUCAUAUUCUGCAUAAUUGAAAUUGAUCACACUGCAAUAAUUGUUAGGAAAUCUUAGUCUUCCUAAGUAGAAAAUCGUUAAGAAAUAUAUCAAAAUAUGUCGAGAAAGGACUUCCAACGCAUAAACGCGGGUCAAAAUGGGGUCAGGUAGAGUGCAUCAGAAGAGCCCUUCCUGAUACCAAAGAAAUACUGUGUUGGGAGUUGUCAAGAUCUCCCGAUUCAAUAUUUGUGCAUCAAAGUUCUACUACUAUUUUUAAAAAAUAAUACCUUCCAUUAUUACUCUCCACCCAAUCCCUUCCAUAUCUCUAGGCCAGUGAUCUCAUAGUCGAUCGGAUAAAAAAUGGAAAUUAUAACAAAUGAAUACAAUUAAGGGAAUAUCAAACUAUUGGGAAAAGACAUCUUAAUAAAUAAAUAGCAUUACUGAAGUAAAGGAACGAUAUAGAGAAUGGACAAACUUCCAAUUGAUGAAGCUUGGCAACAACAACAGACCACAAGCAAAAAAAUUAUAGACGAUCAAACAUAGGCUAGUAAGUAACUAGUGAUCUGGACGGUACAACUAUGAUGUGCAAUAGAAAGUGUAAGAGAAUUAUUGUAUGAAAUUGUUCUAAUCUCACAUUCACAUUUUAGUAGAGUUAGAGCAAUUUCAUUCAAUCUUAUAUUUAACCAACGUAUAUAAGUUUAAGAUGAAGUCAACAAUAAUUAAAAAAAAAAACAAAGUUAAUGAGGAGGUACGAGCAUACUUGAUGUUUGUUAUUCUAUAUAAAACUCUCACUCAAAUGUAUUGUUUGUUGGACGGGAUUGUUUUGAAAUUGGAUUGUGUUUAAUGGAAUUUAAGAUGGAAUAAGUUGUGUCAUCUUGAGUCAAGGCACAUAGACUUAUUUAGCCAUACCAAAAUUGUACGGCCUUGCUAUAGUUUGCAUGUUAGGUUUGUGGUGUACCAUUGGCUGGGGGUUAAUAUGACGUGUCAUUGAAUACAGAUCAUUGCAUGCAAAAUUUUCUCCAUUAUUCUCUUCGUCAUGCAAGUGGACAUGAUCAUUGUAGGCAAAAUGCUCUCAAUGUCCCCACCAUCUGUUCCAAGUCCUUGUUGUACAAGUUUUCCUAUUGUUUGCCCAAGUGUAAGCAAAACAAUAGGUUUUCUCGAAUGAACCAAUGUCAAACAUAAGGAAUUGAUAUCAAAGACUUGUUCUAGGAUCUCUACUCAUCAAUUAGGUGCACUACAAGAAAUGGGGCAUUUCCCGACGCAUAAAUAUGUGUCGGGGCAAGUGUGUCGUGAGAGGAAUUUCCGACACACAACAAGUUGUGCAUCAAAAAUUCCUAAACAUCUCCUGACGUUGUAUGAACGUCGAAGGAUGCUGUCAAUAUGGCAUCGGGAGAUGUCACAGAACUUCUGACGCGUAUGUUAGGAACUCCCGACGCACCAUGGUGCAUCGGGAGUUUCCAUAUUUUUUUGUAAAAAAAAAUACCUUCCAUUAAUUCCUAAAUUCAAACUCAUCUUCAAUCUCAAUUUCAACACUUCAAUCUAAACUUCAAAACUUCAAUCUCAACAUUCAACACUUCAAUCUCAACUUCAACACUUCAAUUCAAAUUUCUAAAACCUACAACUAAUUCAAAAUCAUAACAACACUUCAAAUUCAAUUUCAAUACUAAAACCUACAACUAAUUCAAAAUCUAAAUACUAAAACUAAUUUGAAACCUAAAAUCUAAAGCCUAAAACUAAUUUGAAAUCUAAAUACUAAAACUAAUUAACUAAAACAAAACAAUAACUGAACUAAACCACUUACCGACGACGACGACAACGACAACGGAGACGACAAUGACGACAGCAACGGUAACGGGAACGACAAUGACGAUGAAUGCCUCUUCUUCUUGAUCUCCCUCUCGGUCUCCCUUUCCCUCUCUCGGUUUUCUUUCUCUUUUAUGUUUCCAUUCUGUAAAGAAUGGAGUUAAAAAGACGGAGAACUCCCGACACACAACGAAAACGUCGGGAAUAGAGCCCUAUUUCUGACGAGAUCAGUGACACGUCGGGAAUCCCUAAACCUAUUUAUGAUGUUGCUGGCACCAUGUCGGAGGAAGGCGUAACGUGCAAUUAAUGAUCUGCCCUUCCUCCAACGCAACACUAUAGACGUCGGGAAUAGGUGCGCAUUAUGAUAGGUUUUCUCAAUGAUAAUAAUAAUAAAUAAAUAAAUUGACUUUUUAAUCUCAUUAUAAUUUUCAUUAGCUUACUGAGAUUUACAUAUAUAUUACCCCAACAUAGAUUUUCGAAUCUAGAAGCAGAACAUUAUGUUUAGUUAAGCAUUGGACACAAAUGAGUUAAGUAGUUGCAAUGCUGAAAUUAAAUUAGUUCAUUUUCUACUUUCUAUGGUUAUAAUUUGAAGAAUGAAAGACAUUUAUCCUUUCUUGAACUUGAAUAAUAUAAUUUUAAGAAUCGAUUUGAUUUGGUUUUGAUUUCAACCCUUAUGCAAAUAGUUAUGUUUACGUGUUUAUAUUAAGGUUCUUAUUGAUAUACAACGUCAACGUAGAGCUAUGUUUAAUUUUGGAUUAAAUUUUAAUGUAGAGCUUAUUUACUCAAAUAAAGUUAAUUAAAUAUUUAGUAUCAUUCAAACUUUUUAAAUUUGAAUUUUGUAGAUACAUUGAGGUUUGUGUACAAGCAGAAAAUUUUAAUUUUGUGAGUGUUUUUAUAGUUAAUUAGAAAUAGUUUUAGUUUUUUAUUUUUCAUUUUUGCUAAAAUUUUGAGAAAUUUUGUUGUAGGAUUUUGCUUAAAAAUUUAUAUUGCAAAAUUGACGAUGGGGCUUGAAGAAGUACUUUACGCUUGAAAAACAAUUAAGCUAGAGUUUUAUAUAUAUAUUGUAGCUAGUAAUUUUGUUUAUCAUCACAUUUUGUGGAGAGACGUGAAUUGGUUUGUUAUAUUGUAGAAAGUUGAGUUGUUUAUAUAAAUAUCAUAUAUUGUAUAGAAGUAUUAAAAUUGAGUUGUGGUUUUUAAUUUCGUCACCAAUAUUCAAAAUGGUUUGGACAUUUUAAUACAUGCAGUAUAAAAAAAUUCGUACAAUUAUUGAAAAAUUGGAUAAAAAAAAAAAGCAGCAGCAUAGAAGAUGGCGUACAACAACUGACAUGGAAGUGUACAAUGUUUGAUAGAAACAACAUUGAUUAUGAUUGGAAAAUAAUUUCUUUAAUGUAUAAUAUCGUUUAUAAGCCGAAAUUAUAGAUGACCGACAUUAUAGACGUUUUAUAACAUGUUUUUCGAUGUUGGUUUACAUUAAACAUAUAAAAUAUCAGUUUCAAACUGACAUAAAGGACUAGUUCUAACCAAACUGACAUAAAAGGUUAGUUCUAUAAGAGUGGUUUUAAAAUUUGACCUUACACAACCAUCAAAAUGAAAUUAACACUGCAUAUUUUCUAGGAAAUUUAAUUUGCGUAAAUGAGAGAUAUCUUCUGACUAGUAUAUACACGUGUGUAUAAUAAAAAUAGUUCUCACUUCAGUUUUUUUGAGUAACUCACUAAAGAAGUGAAGGACUUACUAAAUGUGGACCUUAUAGCUAAAGUUGUUGAGUUUGAAGUUCAACAUAAAUGCAACAUAAAGCAGAAGUCAAAAUCUCAAGGAAAUGCAUCGCUAGAAGACAAAGUCACAAUCAAAAAGGCUAAAAAAAAUAGACAUUUCGAAGUUAUGACUACCAUGAUUGUAGUUGUAUAUCACAAAGUGACAACUUGUUUUUUCUUUUAAACCGUGGGUAUUGUUAUCAAAUUAUCUUAAGUUGUGCAUGUAUUCCUAUCUUUCAUUUGGUAAUUAAGAAUAAUAAUUAAAUGUAUAACAACAUUUUAAAUAUAUACUGUCCUAUUUUAUUAACCUUACUAUGGAUUAAUAGUAGAAAUUACCAUUAGUAGGAUUUUUAUAAAUCUCUCUUUUUGGGUUAAAGCGAAAUGUUUACCUAAUUACAAAUAGCUAUUUUUUCCAAACUAUAAUUCAAUCGGCUGACUAGCUUGAUGCAUUCUUCGAACUGCCCCAUUAUUUUACUAUACUAAUUAGGUGGAUGGUCAUUUUAGAAAGUCAAAUCAAAUGGAGGGCAAUAUAGUAAACAGCCUAAGUUUAUUAUGAUGUUUUCUUAUAACCAUAUGACAUUUAUGAAAAAUAGUAGAGAAAUUGGAUAAGAUUUGAAAAAGACUCCAUAAUUAAGUCUAUUUAGGUAUUAAGACCUUUUCAAAACGGUUGGCCUACAAACCAAAUUUCAACUACAAUAAUGCUUAGCCAUAUUGGCGGUUUUCGAUAACAUCAAACUUGCCCAAUAAUAAAUAAGCCUUAAACUCAUCAUGAGCUCCAUAAUUGACGUAGACUCAAUUACGGAAGAUAUAGGCAUUAAAUAAAUUAGUAACAUAAUAAAAUUACACAACCCG
rnacentral:lncRNA from 1 species